rnacentral:sRNA from 1 species
CUCCAUCCUGGCAGGAGGGACUCAGAGGCUGCCCCGUUGUCUGGGGGUGGCCCUGGCGAAGGAGCUCAUCUUCACGGGCCGACGACUGAGUGGAACUGAGGCCCAUGUACUGGGGCUGGUGAAUCACGCUGUGGCCCAGAACGAGGAGGGGGACGCCGCCUACCAGCGGGCACGAGCACUGGCCCAGGAGAUCCUGCCCCAGGCCCCCAUUGCCGUGCGGCUGGGCAAAGUAGCCAUUGACCGAGGAAUGGAGGUGAGAGGGUUUUGGGUUGGGACUUGGGUCCACUAAAGUUGGUCACAGCUGGGACGCAGUGCUUUCAGAGCUCAGACAGACAGCACAGCUGGGAAGAACUCAGGAAGUGGACUCUUCUAACAGACUUUAACUCUGACCUCGUGCUCUAGGUCAGUUUACACAACUGCAUAUUGGAAGUUUGGCCAGACAAUAUUAUUGUUUACAUUCUAUCCUCAUCUUUCUCCCUUGGAGAGAGGAUGAGAUUGAGGUUAAGGGGUAAAUGAUUUGCCCAAGGUCUCAGAGGAAGUGAGUAGAAAGAACCCGGGUCUGUGUGGCUGCCAGUCCAUGCUGCAAGAUUUGUGCUGGCAGUAAUGUGGCCUCAGGGCAGGGCUUGGGGUGAUGCCUUGGGUGUGGCUAAUCCAUCUGUCCACCUCAACUCUCCCAUCUAGUCACUCAUCACACACUGAAUCCAGACCAAAGCUGGGAAUUGGGAUACAGAUGGAUGAGUUAAACAUGGUCACUGCCCCCGGGAGGGGGCAGAUACAGACACAAAUCAAGGAUAAUGGUACCACGCUGACACCCCAGAGAGGUUAGAGCUUUGCGGUCCAUUAUGAUAUCCAUGUGUGGCUUUUAAAUUAAAAGUAAAAUGUGGCCGGGUGCGGUGGCUCAUGCCUGUAGUCCCAGCACUUUGGGAGGCUGAGGCGGGCGGAUCACGAGGUCAGGAGAUCGAGACCAUCCUGGCUAACACAGUGAAACCCCGUCUCUACUAAAAAUACAAAAAAUUAGCCAGGCGUGGUGGCAGGCACCUGUAGUCCCAGCUACUCCGGAGGCUGAGGCAGGCGAAUCGCUUGAACCCAGGAGGCGGAGCUUGCAGUGAGCCGAGAUCGCGCCACUGCACUCCAGCCUGGGCGACAGAGCGAGACUCCGUCUCAAAAUAAAUAAAUAAAAUAAAAUAAAAUGUUCAGUUUCUCCUUCACACUAAUCACAGUUCACGUGCUUGACAUUCACAUGUGGCUAGUGGCUACCAUACUGGGCAGUGCUGGGUUAAAGAAUGUUUUCUACAGUUGGACUGUGGGAAGGAUAAGAAUUCCAGAGGAAAAGUAUGGGCAAAGGCACAGAGGAGGAUAAGCAAGCAGCUCGUCCAGAUGAGAGUGAGGGAAGAAGACAGUGUGCAAGUUCGAGGCACUGGGCUGUCUGGGUUCAAAGACCUGCUCUUCCACAUACUGUUUGUUGUGAACUUUGACAAAUUAUUUCACCUUUCUAUGCCUCAGGUUUCUCAGCUGUAGAAUAGGGAUACUAACCCUUGCUGUGAAAACUAAGUUCACACACAUGUACUUCUCUUAGAAUGAGGCUUUUAAGUGCCAAUCAGUGGGCCCUAGAGGCUGGAGCAAUUGCCAGGGCCCAGGUCAUAAAGGUUCAGGAAUUAAUGGGUGACAGGAAGCGUGGUGAGGCAGCCAGAUGGGAAGGAGAACUCCUCUUCUCUGGCAAAAUGUCUCAGUCUGUCUCUUGUUUCUCCCAGCAGUUUUGUCAUAGUUACGAAUGGUGUUUCUUCUCUAGGAGGGAAAUUCCUUCUCAUAGCUAUCUCUGCUCAUAUAGAUGUCUGUAGGCAAUAGGGUGGGCUGGCUUCCAGUGUGGGUGAAGAUGGACAAGGUCAGACCAAUCCAGGGAGCACGUCUUUCUUGCAGGUGGACAUUGCAUCCGGGAUGGCCAUUGAAGGGAUGUGCUAUGCCCAGAAUAUUCCAACCCGGGACCGGCUAGAGGGCAUGGCAGCCUUCAGGGAGAAGCGGACUCCCAAAUUUGUUGGCAAAUGACCCCCAUUUUAACCUUCAGCAUGGGAGAUGCAUGCCCUGAAGAGCAGGAUCCAGAAGGAAGAUUUGUGGCCGGAUUGCCUUCAUCAUUUCACCUCUCCAGACUUCCAUUUCUUCACAAGGAUGAUGAUGGAAAUAAAAUGACUGGCAUGAUGCCUGGAACCAAGGUGCUGAUCCUACCACCUACUGCUACCUUCCUUAGCUUCACCCUGGCUAGAAAUAAUCACGAGGGUUGGGUUUGCUUUGGAAAAUGCCUGUCUCUCUACUUGAAUGAUAAAGAAUUAAAUUAGA